GCAGACCUCGUAGGCCCUCUUCUCUCCCCACCCCAGGUUUUAUGCCGUGUGCUUUUACCUGCUGAUGCUGGUCAUGGUGGAAGGCUUUGGGGGGAAGGAGGCAGUGCUGAGGACGCUGAGGGACACCCCGAUGAUGGUCCACACAGGCCCCUGCUGCUGCUGCUGCCCCUGCUGUCCACGGCUGCUGCUCACCAGAUUUCUGAGGGGAGCACAGCUCUAUGGAUCAACACUUUCCUUGGCGUGUCCACACUGCUGGCUCUCUGGACCCUGGGCAUCAUUUCCCGUCAAGCCAGGCUACACCUGGGUGAGCAGAACAUGGGAGCCAAAUUUGCUCUGUUCCAGGUUCUCCUCAUCCUGACUGCCCUACAGCCCUCCAUCUUCUCAGUCUUGGCCAACGGUGGGCAGAUUGCUUGUUCGCCUCCCUAUUCCUCUAAAACCAGGUCUCAAGUGAUGAAUUGCCACCUCCUCAUACUGGAGACUUUUCUAAUGACUGUGCUGACACGAAUGUACUACCGAAGGAAAGACCACAAGGUUGGGUAUGAAACUUUCUCUUCUCCAGACCUGGACUUGAACCUCAAAGCCUAAGGUGGAUGGCUUGGACAAUGAAAGGAUGCUGUACUCAUUAGAAUACAAGAUUCCUUUACUGUCCCUCAACCUUGACCAAAUGGGAAGCAUUCCCCCUUGUCAACACAAGCUGGCAGAUACAUUUGACUCUACAGAUGAAGGUGAACAAUGUUAGAAUAAAAUUGCUUUGGAUCUUGCCUGG
rnacentral:lncRNA from 1 species